CGACCCUAGUGUAGCUGUAAACAAGCGGGCCAAAUCUGCUGGCUACAUGAUAUGACGAUUACGCCGUAGCCUGAAGCAGCCAACUAGUUCUACAUUUCUAGCAACAUUCUAUCAAGCACGAACUGGCUACAUAGAACGUUGAUAUUCAUAAAUAAAUCCAACCCACUUCAAUAGGUCUGAACACAGUCUGUGGGCGAGCAGAAUGUCUAGCUGACGGCCCUCCACGCAGGAGUGUGAUGAUUUGUAACUAUGCAGCACAAAUAUGGCCAUUGGAGUCUGAUGUUUCUGCUUGGCUCUGCCUGAGGACUUGUCCUUCACCAGCCUCAUCCAACCUCAACACAACAUAGCAAUUCUUAAUUACUAUUAUAACACUUGUUUAAGGGGGGGGUAUUUUAAUUCAGCCAGAAUAACCAAUGUGGUGAGCUGAAAUAGGGUUCAUUAUUGCCCUUGUUUUCCUGGCAAGCAGAUCAGGUGAUAAUCAUGUGACAAGAUUAUAAGUGAGAGAUGCCUCUUAAUGUGGUACGUUCAAUGUCUGCAAUCCCCUUUGAUUUUAAUUAAAAGGUACUGAGUGUAGGCAACACCGAAGUACAUUCCUCAACUGUCUUCUUAGCUAAAUUACUCAUCUGGAACGUUUAAAUGGCCCGGGCACCAUUUGAAUUAGAACACUGACGGCACAAUCUGUAAAUUCAAUUUCUGCUACACCUGCUACGGCACAGCUUUGAUUAACAGGUUGUAGCAUAGAGGCUAUGACUUCAGCAUGAUUCAUUACACCUCCCCCGCUAGUCUGUCAAUGAAUGCAUGCAUCGCACGGGUGUCUUCUGCUGGUUUUGCAGAUCUCGGACAAGGAACUCCAGAUGCUUUUACUGCGCCAUGUUCUUUACGUGUGUGUCAUGAAUGACAUCCACAAAAAGGACACUCCACUUCCUGUUGAGAGGUGGUCUGUCCUGUUGGAUUCAUAGCCCUCUGGAUCUGGACAUAAGCAUGCAAGUAAAUCUUGGCCAAUCUGAUGCCUCCGAAGCUAGUCAAAUAAACAAACUGCUGUAGGUCUGCAGAAACGGGAGAUCAGGCGGAGGGCAGAGCCGAGCGACAGAAAGCUCAGGCACGAAAGCUCAUUUCAAUGAGAAAUGCACGGAGAAAACUCAAAGAUCAUAUUUCAGGAACCUGGAGAACAAACAAUUUGACAGUGUGUGAAAACCUUGUGAAUACUUACAGAAAACGUUUGAGCUCUGUCACUGCCAACAAAGGGUAUAUAACAAAGUAUUGAGAUAAACUUUUGUUAUUGACCAAAUACUUAUU